UACGUAGGGCGCAAGUGUUAUCCGGAAUUAUUGGGCGUAAAGAGCUCGUAGGCGGUUUGUCGCGUCUGCCGUGAAAGUCCGGGGCUCAACUCCGGAUCUGCGGUGGGUACGGGCAGACUAGAGUGAUGUAGGGGAGACUGGAAUUCCUGGUGUAGCGGUGAAAUGCGCAGAUAUCAGGAGGAACACCGAUGGCGAAGGCAGGUCUCUGGGCCGAUAUUGACGCUGAGGAGCGAAAGCGUGGGGAGCGAACAGG
rnacentral:rRNA from 1 species